UACGGGGGGGGCAAGCGUUGUUCGGAUUUACUGGGCGUAAAGGGCGCGUAGGCGGUCAGCACAAGUCAGUUGUGAAAUCUCCGAGCUUAACUCGGAAAGGUCAACUGAUACUGUGCGACUAGAGUGCGGAAGGGGCAACUGGAAUUCUUGGUGUAGCGGUGAAAUACGUAGAUAUCAAGAGGAACACCAGCGGCGAAGGCGGGUUGCUGGGCCGACACUGACGCUGAGGCGCGAAAGCUAGGGGAGCGAACGGG
rnacentral:rRNA from 1 species